rnacentral:rRNA from 3 species
CGCGACCCCAGGUCAGGCGGGAUUACCCGCUGAG